rnacentral:rRNA from 1 species
AUUGAACGCUGGCGGCAGGCUUAACACAUGCAAGUCGAGCGGAGAUGAGGUGCUUGCACCUUAUCUUAGCGGCGGACGGGUGAGUAAUGCUUAGGAAUCUGCCUAUUAGUGGGGGACAACAUUCCGAAAGGAAUGCUAAUACCGCAUACGUCCUACGGGAGAAAGCAGGGGAUCUUCGGACCUUGCGCUAAUAGAUGAGCCUAAGUCGGAUUAGCUAGCUGGUGGGGUAAAGGCCUACCAAGGCGACGAUCUGUAGCGGGUCUGAGAGGAUGAUACGCCACACUGGGACUGAGAGACGGCCCAGACUCCUACGGGAGGCAGCAGCGGGGGAUAUUGGACAAUGGGGGGAACCCAGAUCCAGCCAUGCCGCGUGUGUGAAGAAGGACUUAUGGUUGUAAAGCACUUUAAGCGAGGAGGAGGCUACUGAGACUAAUACUCUUGGAUAGUGGACGUUACUCGCAGAAUAAGCACCGGCUAACUCUGUGCCAGCCGCCGCCGUAA